UACGUAGGUGGUCUGUUAAGUCAGAUGUGAAAGCCCCGGGCUUAACCUGGGAACUGCAUUUGAUACUGGCAGACUAGAGUAUGGUAGAGGGGGGUAGAAUUCCUAGUGUAGCGGUGAAAUGCGUAGAUAUUAGGAGGAAUACCAGUGGCGAAGGCGGCCCCCUGGGCCAAUACUGACACUGAGGUACGAAAGCGUGGGUAGCGAACA
rnacentral:rRNA from 1 species